rnacentral:rRNA from 1 species
CCUACGGGGGGCAGCAGUGGGGAAUAUUGCGCAAUGGGCGAAAGCCUGACGCAGCGACGCCGCGUGAGGGAUGAAGGUCUUCGGAUCGUAAACCUCUGUCAGCAGGGAAGAACGGUCACUGUGCUAAUCAGCAGUGAAUUGACGGUACCUGCAAAGGAAGCACCGGCUAACUCCGUGCCAGCAGCCGCGGUAAUACGGAGGGUGCGAGCGUUAAUCGGAAUUACUGGGCGUAAAGCGCUCGUAGGCGGUAUGUCAAGUCAAGGGUGAAAUCCCCGCGCUCAACGGGGGAACUGCCUUUGAAACUGGCAAACUGGAGUGUGUGAGAGGAUAGUGGAAUUCCAGGUGUAGGAGUGAAAUCCGUAGAUAUCUGGAGGAACAUCAGUGGCGAAGGCGACUAUCUGGAACAUAACUGACGCUGAGGAGCGAAAGCGUGGGUAGCAAACAGGAUUAGAUACCCUGGUAGUC